AUGAACGCUGGCGGCGUGCCUAAUACAUGCAAGACGCGCGAACAGACGAGGAGCUUGCUCCUCUGACGUUAGCGGCGGACGGGUGAGUAACACGUGGAUAACCUACCUAUAAGACUGGGAUAACUUCGGGAAACCGGAGCUAAUACCGGAUAAUAUAUUGAACCGCAUGGUUCAAUAGUGAAAGACGGUUUUGCUGUCACUUAUAGAUGGAUCCGCGCCGCAUUAGCUAGUUGGUAAGGUAACGGCUUACCAAGGCAACGAUGCGUAGCCGACCUGAGAGGGUGAUCGGCCACACUGGAACUGAGACACGGUCCAGACUCCUACGGGAGGCAGCAGUAGGGAAUCUUCCGCAAUGGGCGAAAGCUUGACGGAGCAACGCCGCGUGAGUGAUGAAGGUCUUCGGAUCGUAAAACUCUGUUAUUAGGGAAGAACAAAUGUGUAAGUAACUAUGCACGUCUUGACGGUACCUAAUCAGAAAGCCACGGCUAACUACGUG
rnacentral:rRNA from 1 species